UGGGGAAUCUUGCACAAUGGGGGAAACCCUGAUGCAGCGGCGCCGCGUGAACGAUGAAGCCCUUCGGGGUGUAAAGUUCUUUCGACAGGAACGAUAAUGACGGUACCUUGAGAAGAAGCUGCGGCUAACUACGUGCCAGCAGCCGCGGUAAUACGUAGGCAGCGAGCGUUGUUCGGAGUUACUGGGCGUAAAGAGUGCGUAGGCGGCGAGCCAAGUUUGGUGUGAAAUCUCCCGGCUUAACUGGGAGGGUGCGCCGAAGACUGGGAAGCUGGAGUGUGGGAAAGGCAGGCGGAAUUCCUGGUGUAGCGGUGAAAUGCGUAGAUAUCAGGAGGAACACCGGCGGUGUAGACGGCUUGCUAGACCAUAACUGACGCUGAGGCACGAAAGCGUGGGUAGCAAACA
rnacentral:rRNA from 1 species